GACGAACGCUGGCGGCGUGCUUAACACAUGCAAGUCGAACGGAAAGGCCCUGCUUUUGUGGGGUGCUCGAGUGGCGAACGGGUGAGUAGCUCGUGAGUAACCUGCCCUUGACUUUGGGAUAACUUCAGGAAACUGGGGCUAAUACCGGAUAGGAGCUCCUGCUGCAUGGUGGGGGUUGGAAAGUUUCGGCGGUUGGGGAUGGACUCGCGGCUUAUCAGCUUGUUGGUGGGGUAGUGGCUUACCAAGGCUUUGACGGGUAGCCGGCCUGAGAGGGUGACCGGCCACAUUGGGACUGAGAUACGGCCCAGACUCCUACGGGAGGCAGCAGUGGGGAAUAUUGCACAAUGGGCGGAAGCCUGAUGCAGCAACGCCGCGUGCGGGAUGACGGCCUUCGGGUUGUAAACCGCUUUCGCCUGUGACGAAGCGUGAGUGACGGUAAUGGGUAAAGAAGCACCGGCUAACUACGUG
rnacentral:rRNA from 1 species